GACGAACGCUGGCGGCGUGCCUAAUACAUGCAAGUCGAACGCAGUGGGGAUGGGUGAUUAACACGUGGCUAACCUCCCAUAAGAGGGGAUAACACUUGGAAACAGGUGCUAAACCGAUACUGAUGGAUGGACCCGCGGUGCAUUAGCUAGUUGGGGGGGUAACGGGUCACCAAGGCGACGAUGCAUAGCCGAUCUGAGAGGGGGAACGGCCACACUGGGACUGAGACACGGCCCAGACUCCUACGGGAGGCAGCAGUAGGGAAUCUUCGGCAAUGGACGAAAGUCGGACCGAGCAACGCCGCGGGAAUGAAGAAGGUUUUCGGAUCGUAAAACACUGUUGUUAGGGAAGCGGUAUCUGACCAAAAAGCCCCGGCUAACUACGUGCCAGCCGCCGCGGUAAUUC
rnacentral:rRNA from 1 species